UACGUAGGUGGCGAGCGUUGUCCGGAUUUACUGGGCGUAAAGGGAGCGUAGGCGGACUUUUAAGUGAGAUGUGAAAUACCCGGGCUCAACUUGGGUGCUGCAUUUCAAACUGGAAGUCUAGAGUGCAGGAGAGGAGAAUGGAAUUCCUAGUGUAGCGGUGAAAUGCGUAGAUAUUAGGAGGAACACCAGUGGCGAAGGCGGCCUACUGGGCUCUAACUGACGCUGAGGCUCGAAAGCGUGGGGAGCAAACAGGAUUAGAUACCCCGGUAGUCCCU
rnacentral:rRNA from 1 species